GAGGGCCCUCUGGGUCCAACCUCCCACCCGUGUCUAUCGUACCUUGUUGCUUCGGCGGGCCCGCCGUUUCGACGGCCGCCGGGGAGGCCUUGCGCCCCCGGGCCCGCGCCCGCCGAAGACCCCAACAUGAACGCUGUUCUGAAAGUAUGCAGUCUGAGUUGAUUAUCGUAAUCAGUUAAAACUUUCAACAACGGAUCUCUUGGUUCCGGCAUCGAUGAAGAACGCAGCGAAAUGCGAUAAGUAAUGUGAAUUGCAGAAUUCAGUGAAUCAUCGAGUCUUUGAACGCACAUUGCGCCCCCUGGUAUUCCGGGGGGCAUGCCUGUCCGGAGCGUCAUUGCUGCCCUCAAGCACGGCUUGUGUGUUGGGCCCCCGUCCCCCUCUCCCGGGGGACGGGCCCGAAAGGCAGCGGCGGCACCGCGUCCGGUCCUCGAGCGUAUGGGGCUUUGUCACCUGCUCUGUAGGCCCGGCCGGCGCCAGCCGACACCCAACUUUAUUUUCUAAGGUUGACCUCGGAUCAGG
rnacentral:misc_RNA from 1 species